rnacentral:rRNA from 1 species
AUCCUACGGGAGGCAGCAGUGGGGAAUAUUGCACAAUGGGGGAAACCCUGAUGCAGCGACGCCGCGUGAGUGAAGAAGUAUUUCGGUAUGUAAAGCUCUAUCAGCAGGGAAGAAAAUGACGGUACCUGACUAAGAAGCCCCGGCUAACUACGUGCCAGCAGCCGCGGUAAUACGUAGGGGGCAAGCGUUAUCCGGAUUUACUGGGUGUAAAGGGAGCGUAGACGGUGCGGCAAGUCUGAAGUGAAAGGCAGGGGCUUAACCCCCGAACUGCUUUGGAAACUGCCAUGCUAGAGUGCUGGAGAGGG